GCCAUGGGCAGGUUGAAGGUUGGGUAACACUAACUGGAGGACCGAACCGACUAAUGUUGAAAAAUUAGCGGAUGACUUGUGGCUGGGGGUGAAAGGCCAAUCAAACCGGGAGAUAGCUGGUUCUCCCCGAAAGCUAUUUAGGUAGCGCCUCGUGAACUCAUCUUCGGGGGUAGAGCACUGUUUCGGCUAGGGGGUCAUCCCGACUUACCAACCCGAUGCAAACUACGAAUACCGAAGAAUGUUAUCACGGGAGACACACGGCGGGUGCUAACGUUCGUCGUGAAGAGGGAAACAACCCAGACCGCCAGCUAAGGUCCCAAAGUCAUGGUUAAGUGGGAAACGAAGUGGGAAGGCUCAGACAGCCAGGAUGUUGGCUUAGAAGCAGCCAUCAUUUAAAGAAAGCGUAAUAGCUCACUGGUCGAGUCGGCCUGCGCGGAAGAUGUAACGGGGCUAAACCAUGCA
rnacentral:rRNA from 1 species